rnacentral:rRNA from 1 species
CCUACGGGUGGCAGCAGUGAGGAAUAUUGGUCAAUGGACGAGAGUCUGAACCAGCCAAGUAGCGUGAAGGAUGACUGCCCUAUGGGUUGUAAACUUCUUUUAUAUGGGAAUAAAAUGUUCCACGUGUGGGAUUUUGUAUGUACCAUAUGAAUAAGGAUCGGCUAACUCCGUGCCAGCAGCCGCGGUAAUACGGAGGAUCCGAGCGUUAUCCGGAUUUAUUGGGUUUAAAGGGAGCGUAGGUGGAUUGUUAAGUCAGUUGUGAAAGUUUGCGGCUCAACCGUAAAAUUGCAGUUGAAACUGGCAGUCUUGAGUACAGUAGAGGUGGGCGGAAGUCGUGGUGUAGCGGUGAAAUGCUUAGAUAUCACGAAGAACUCCGAUUGCGAAGGCAGUUCACUGGACUGCAACUGACACUGAGGCUCGAAAGUGUGGGUAUCAAACAGGACUAGAUACCCGGGUAGUC